rnacentral:rRNA from 1 species
GCACAGCCAUAAACUUUGAUAUAAAUAUACAAUAUUAUCCGCCUGGGAACUACGAGCAUAAGCUUAAAACCCAAAGGACUUGGCGGUGCUUUAGAUCCACCUAGAGGAGCCUGUUCUAGAACCGAUAAUCCCCGUUAAACCUCACCCCUUCUGGUUAUUCCCGCCUAUAUACCGCCGUCGUCAGCCCACCCUGUGAAGGAACUAUAGUGAGCUUAAUUGGUUUAACCCAAAACGCCAGGUCAAGGUGUAGCAUAUGAGGGGGGAAGAAAUGGGCUACAUUUCCUAAUUAAGGAAAAACGGAUUGUAGUAUGAAAUAAUUACAUGAAGGAGGAUUUAGUAGUAAGUGAAAAACAGAGUGUUUCACUGAAUACGGCCCUGAAGCGCGCACACACCGCCCGUCACUCUCCCCAAGCUUAACUAUAAAAUUUUUUAAAAAACUAAAGAAGCAAAGGGGAGGCAAGUCGUAACAUGGUAAGUGUACCGGAAGGUGCACUUGGGAAAAU